rnacentral:lncRNA from 1 species
GUUAGAUAAGAUAUGUUGUCAGUUGAUAUGUGCAAAUAACUAGAUUAAUAUCUUUCAUUGUUUAGAUAUUUUGUUCCAAGAGAAUUUGCAUCAGUGAGCAGUCCUCAAUGUUGAACCGGAUUACAUGACAGGAAAAGAAAGAUUAUUUUAUACCAAACAGAAUCAUCUACAGUCGCUGUCUUGAAUCAUUUAAAUAAGGUUAGUUUAUAAAACGCCUUCCAGGCAAUGUGGCAUGAAAAUUUUAAAUUCUGAAUAAUAUGUUAUCCCUUGGGGAAUUCAUCCAAUCUAAGCCAAUAAAUGCAAAGCCCUAUGUCAGUGAGCAUUUUUUAUCAGUUGAAAGUAAUUGUUUUGAUGAGAGAAAUAAAUGCUUAUCGACAAUUUUCAGAAAGUUUGGAAUAAUAGUUCCGGGCCUUUUUAUUUAAAAAAUUCCUGUGCUCUCCCUUUGUUGAGCACAGAUUGCCACUUGCCUGUGGUUGCCCGCUUUGCAAAAUGUUUUAAAACGUGUUUUUAUCAAUUGAAAGUGAUUGUUUUGAUGAGAAAAUGUGUCUCAAUGUUUACUUUUUGUCCAUUUUGACGUAAAGCAACAAAAAAAAACAAAAAAGCAAGGCUAUUUUGAUUGACAAUUUUUCAUCGCUAGCUUUUGAAAAAAAAAAGAAAGAAAUUAAUGAAAUCACUUCAACAGAAGAACAAAGUGAUUUAAAACAAAAAACUAAAAAAAAAAAGAAAUUGAAGAAAUCACUUCAACAGAAGAACAAAGUGAUUUAAAACGAAAAACUAAAAAAAAAAGAAAGAAAUUGAAGAAAUCACUUCAACGGAAGAACGAACUUUAAAACGAACAACUACAAUGCUUGAAACAGAUAAGACGACUUUUUCAUAACUGGGCAGAAAACAGCAAAUAAGUAAGGUUAUUGCCUUAAGUUUUCGUCGAUUUUAACGACUUUUUUUCGUAAAGGGACAAAAACAGCAAAAAAGCAAUUGAAAAGGAUUUAGCGACUUUUUUCAUUUUUCAUAAGUGGGUAAAAAACAGCAAAAAAAGUAAGGCUAUAGCCUUCGUCCAUUUUUAGCGACUUUUCAUUUUUCAUAAGUGGGCAAAAAACAGCCAAAAAGUAAGGCUAUACCCUUUACUUUUCGUCCAUUUUUAGCGACUUUUUCCAUUUUUCAUAAGUGGGCAUAAAACAGCAAAAAAGUACUAUCUUGUUCCCCGAGCAUGCCCGUUCGCAGGUUAAGGGUAGGCAUAGCUCUGGGGAAAUCGAAUUGAUUCAGGCCUGUGAUUGGCUAACGGCAGAUAGUACGUUGGAUUUUCAACAUGAGUUCUAUAUAAACAAAGUAUUUGGAAUUUCUCGCCGAAAAUUUGAUACUUUUUACACUGAAAUCGAUUGAAAACAACUAGAAAUUCUGGAGGAAAUAUGUGCGAAAGCUUCGGAUUGAUAGGGAUAUAACUACCUGAAAAAUACAAGGAGAACUUCGACGUUUCGAGCGAAGGCGCUUCGACUUGUGUUGUCAGUGUUUGUAUACAUCGUACUUGACCUUCUAUAUACUGUCAGGCUCAUACCUAACACUACGUAUACCAUAAAUUCUGACAGGAGAGUUAAAUGUAAAUUUUAAAGCAUAAAAAUAUAUAAUACUUGUUACGAACAAGAUUUGGAUCGACUGCCAUUUAAACAUUUUAAUUAAGUAACUUACCCAAGGUUACGUCGUCCGGCAUAUCACGAAUUGAAAACACAAAUUAUCUAGAG